CUGCCGUCGUCCAAGUGUCCUCCAGUGGAACACUAACUCCCUGCGGCGGCGACAUGCGGACCUCUCCCUACAUCUCCUGCAGAGCGAGUACGAUGUGCUCGCUCUGCAGGAGGUGUACGUAGCUGCUGAGGAACUGCGCCUCCCUGGCUAUGUGGGUUACAGCAGCCGAACCUCCUGUGCACGGGCGGAUUGCCAUGCAGUGCCUUGCCUCGACGACAGCCAUAAGCAGGGCGCACCUCGUUGCACUGUGUACGUGAAGAGGGAACUCCUUCAGGCGGAGGUGAGCGUGGCAGACCUU
rnacentral:lncRNA from 1 species